rnacentral:rRNA from 1 species
GAUGAACGCUAGCGAUAGGCUUAACACAUGCAAGUCGAGGGGCAGCACAAGGUAGCUUGCUAUCUGGGUGGCGACCGGCGCACGGGUGCGUAACGCGUAUGCAACUUGCCCUAUACAGGAGGAUAACCCGUCGAAAGACGGACUAAUACUGCGUAUGCUCACAACUUGGCAUCAAGUGGUGAGGAAAGAAAUUCGGUAUAGGAUAGGCAUGCGUCCCAUUAGCUUGUUGGUGAGGUAACGGCUCACCAAGGCAACGAUGGGUAGGGGAACUGAGAGGUUUAUCCCCCACACUGGUACUGAGACACGGACCAGACUCCUACGGGAGGCAGCAGUGAGGAAUAUUGGUCAAUGGGCGCGAGCCUGAACCAGCCAAGUCGCGUGAAGGAGGACUGUCUUAUGGAUUGUAAACUUCUUUUAGACGGGAAUAACAAGAGUCACGGGUGACUCCCUGCAUGUACCGUAUGAAUAAGCAUCGGCUAACUCCGUG